CGGGGGGCAGCAGUGGGGAAUAUUGCGCAAUGGGCGAAAGCCUGACGCAGCCACGCCGCGUGAGUGAUGAAGGCCUUCGGGUUGUAAAGCUCUGUCGGGAGGGAAGACGGCCGCAAGGCCUGACGGUACCUCGCAAGAAAGCACCGGCUAACUCUGUGCCAGCAGCCGCGGUAAUACAGAGGGUGCAAGCGUUGCUCGGAUUUACUGGGCGUAAAGCGUACGCAGACGGUUUGGUAGGUCGGGUGUGAAAGCCCAGGGCUCAACCCUGGAAAUGCACUCGAAACCACCUCACUUGAGUAUAGGAGAGGGAAGCAGAAUUCCUGGUGUAGAGGUGAAAUUCGUAGAUAUCAGGAGGAAUACCAGUGGCGAAGGCGGCUUCCUGGCCUAUUACUGACGUUCAGGUACGAAAGCGUGGGUAGCAAACAGGAUUAGAUACCCCGGU
rnacentral:rRNA from 1 species